GGCAGGUAUAUUUCCCUCUAGCAUUGUCUGGUCCUGCCGCUCUGAAGAGUUGCAAAAUUGCAUAAUUCUGCUGGAGAGCCCUUGAAACAUGCAGUAUUUGGAAACUUAUGUAAGCUGACAGCCCAGUGAUUUGUCUUGGCCAAUAUACUUCCUCUAG